UACAGAGGGUGCAAGCGUUAAUCGGAAUUACUGGGCGUAAAGCGUGCGUAGACGGUUAUUUAAGUCAGGUGUGAAAGCCCCGGGCUCAACCUGGGAAUUGCAUUUGAGACUGAAUAGCUAGGGUGCGGAAGAGGGAAGCGGAAUUUCCGGUGUAGCGGUGAAAUGCGUAGAUAUCUGGAGGAACACCGGUGGCGAAGGCGGCAUCCUGGACCGACACUGACACUGAGGAGCGAAAGCCAGGGGAGCAAACGGG
rnacentral:rRNA from 1 species